AUUUAAAUGGAGCUAAAUGAAAUGAAAAUCCAAUUCUCAUUUAAAGAGACAAAACCAUUUUGUUCUCAUCCUAAUUUGGGCCAAAAUGCAAUAACCUCAACUUUUUGGGCUAUGUUGCAAAACUUAAACUUUUGAGCUCAUUUUGUAAAAACACAAAAGUCCACUACUUCAUGUAAUCACAACUAGAACCCAAAAAUUUCAACAAAUUGAAAAACAUCAUUAAAGGAACAAAACAAUUUGUCCUUUAAUGAUUUUGGGCCUUUACGUAAAUACGUAAACUUUUGGGCCAAAGUUGCAAAUACACAAAAGUACCAAAACUUUAUGUAAUUGCAUAAAAGCCCCAAAAGCACCCCACUUGUAGGGUGGCCGGUUUUAGAUAGAGUGAGGAAUGCAAAAUUUUGAAAUUUUUCAACAAAGUCAUAAAGUCAUGCAAGUGGUGUGUGUGACAUAAAUUCAUGCAAGUGGUGCGUGUGUAAGAGAAGUACUUCUUACGCACCCAUCACCAUUUCUAUCACCUUUCAAAAUUUCAAUCACAUUAAAACAUUUGAUAAAGCACAAAACAAAGACUUUAUGAAAUAAAUCAAAACUUUGAAUCAAAACACCAAACUUUUUGUUCUUGGCUAAAAUGUCAAGAACAAUGAAGAACAUUCAUGAAAAACCCAUAAAAGCUUCAUGAACAUUUUUCAUCCAAAGACAUCCCAAAAACACUCAAACUUAAGGGAAAUAACAUAUAACCAAACUAGGGUACAUAGGGGUUCCAAAAGUUACUUGAAAACACUUUUAACAAGUCAAACAUGAACCCAAAAAUCCACCCUUUGGAUUUGGCCGAAAAUUCCCCAAAAACAUGGCACCAAAUUUUAGCUCCAA
rnacentral:lncRNA from 1 species